rnacentral:rRNA from 1 species
GAUGAACGCUGGCGGCGUGCCUAAUACAUGCAAGUCGAGCGAAUGGAUUAAGAGCUUGCUCUUAUGAAGUUAGCGGCGGACGGGUGAGUAACACGUGGGUAACCUGCCCAUAAGACUGGGAUAACUCCGGGAAACCGGGGCUAAUACCGGAUAACAUUUUGAACCGCAUGGUUCGAAAUUGAAAGGCGGCUUCGGCUGUCACUUAUGGAUGGACCCGCGUCGCAUUAGCUAGUUGGUGAGGUAACGGCUCACCAAGGCGACGAUGCGUGGCCGACCUGAGAGGGUGAUCGGCCACACUGGGACUGAGACACGGCCCAGACUCCUACGGGAGGCAGCAGUAGGGAACCUUCCGCAAUGGACGAAAGUCUGACGGAGCAACGCCGCGUGAGUGAUGAAGGCUUUCGGGUCGUAAAACUCUGUUGUUAGGGAAGAACAAGUGCUAGUUGAAUAAGCUGGCACCUUGACGGUACCUAACCAGAAAGCCACGGCUAACUACGUGCCAGCAGCCGCAGUAA